rnacentral:rRNA from 1 species
UACGUAGGGUGCAAGCGUUGUCCGGAAUUAUUGGGCGUAAAGAGCUCGUAGGCGGCUCGUCACGUCGGCUGUGAAAACCCGGGGGCUCAACCCCGGGCCUGCAGUCGAUACGGGCGAGCUAGAGUUCGGCAGGGGAGACUGGAAUUCCUGGUGUAGCGGUGAAAUGCGCAGAUAUCAGGAGGAACACCGGUGGCGAAGGCGGGUCUCUGGGCCGAUACUGACGCUGAGGAGCGAAAGCGUGGGGAGCGAACAGG